AUACGGAGGAUCCGAGCGUUAUCCGGAUUUAUUGGGUUUAAAGGGAGCGUAGGCGGACGCUUAAGUCAGUUGUGAAAGUUUGCGGCUCAACCGUAAAAUUGCAGUUGAUACUGGGUGUCUUGAGUACAGUAGAGGCAGGCGGGAUGUGGGGUGUAGCGGUGAAAUGCUUAGAUAUCACGAAGAACUCCGAUUGCGAAGGCAGCCUGCUGGACUGUAACUGACGCUGAUGCUCGAAAGUGUGGGUAUCAAACAGGAUUAGAUACCCUGGUAGUCCACACAGUAAACGAUGAAUACUCGCUGUUUGCGAUAUACAGUAAGCGGCCAAGCGAAAGCGUUAAGUAUUCCACCUGGGGAGUACGCCGGCAACGGUGAAACUCAAAUGAAUUGACGGGG
rnacentral:rRNA from 1 species